rnacentral:lncRNA from 14 species
GGCACAUGGGUCCCACUCACAGCUCCUGUGGAUCCAGGGUUGUGAUAAAAGCGUGUCAGGGCCCCUUGGCAGCCUCACCUGCCUCUGGUGUGCAUGGUCCUGAGCCCAUCCAUUUGGCAUAGCCCCCUUCUUGAUCCCCUGCAAAUCCAAGGCCAAAGAUGAGCUGUCAGCCCUGGACACCACCUCACUCCUGCCUGUCUGCAUCUGCAGAGGGAAUCAAGAGGAACCAGAGCGUGAUGGGACCCUCCCUCCACCACCUGCCUGCAUGCAAAGGGGAGACGGUGGAGGCCUUGAGCAUGAUUUGGAGUUGAGGACAAGCAGAUAUCUGCUCUGUGCACCUGACAGGUCAUUUGGGGAGACUGAAUGCUCCAGGAAUGGCCACGAUGGGACCAGGCUGGAGGCACCUGGUAUCACUGAGGGCUACAAGGGUUUUGUCCUUGUUUCAUGGCAGGGUUUGCUAUUCCAAGAGGAUAGCCAAGCCCAAGCCCAGCUGGGCUCUGGCACAGGAGGAAAAAGCUGUACCCCAUCUGCCAUGGCUCUCUGCUCUCCCAGAAGCUCCACUUCUGGGCAGGAAGAAAGGGGAACUCGCUCUGCUCUUCACAUGCAAAGGCCCCUCGGGCACUGUGACAAAACCAGCUGAAGCUACAAAGUGGCCUUGGUGAGAUGCUCUCUCAAGGUAGAGGUAGGGGAAGAGCUUGCAGGGCGGCUGCAGAGCUGGAGGAGGAGAUGUGGGCAGAAGAGCACAUAACAGCAGCUGGUCUGGGAGAGGACAGUGACUGGAGGGACAAGAAUGGGACAGGAGCAGGAGGAACUUCCCAUGGAGGUGGUCAGCAAAACAAGACCCAAAUGUGGGGAGAAGACUCUAGCAGAGAAGAGGGAGGAACUGCCCUGACUGUGUGGCUGCAGCUUGAAUCUAGGAGACAAGGAGCUGUGGAAAGGCAGGUACCACAGCUCAGCACAGAGCAAGCCACCCACACCUGAGGGAGAAAGCAGGGCGGGCCCAUGUGAGAAAAAGG